AACGUUGCGAAAACGAACCAGGCAAAUAUGGAAACGUGGGUACUGUGUAGUGCGUUUACUCCAUUAUAGUAAGCGAAAUUGAUUUAAAAAGGAUACUAGAUUUAGUUCUAUGUGAAUGUAUUAAGUUAUGUGUGUUUAGAUUACUGUAUAAAACGCCAGUGUUAUUUUAACCAUGGCACUUUAUAUGAAAGCGGCAGAGAUUCUUGAGAAAGUGGAGCAGAAAAAGGGUGCUGUGAAAACUCUGGUUUAUGACAGUAAAUUUCAAAAUAUCAAGCAACUCUUUGCACUUGUGUGUGAAACACAGAAAUACUCAUCAGUUCUGCAGGAGAUCAUCGACAGCACCAAGCUUCUGAAAGAAACAAAACUCCGGAUCUAUUUAGCCAAAGUUCUGGUGUAUGACCUGCUCAUUGGUCAUGGGGUGAAAUGUGGAGGUGCCUGGAAGACGAUGAUGUUGAAGCAUCGCUCCAGAUUACAAUCUGCCCUGGCAAGGAUCAAAGUCAAGAGGAAAGUGAGUCGAAAUCAGGACCUGCUGCCCUCCAGUUUCCAGCAGACUCAGGAUAAUGUAAUUCCACGCUAUGUGCGAGUGAACACGCUGAAAACAACUCUUGAUGAUGUCAUUGACUAUUUAAAAAGAGAGGGAUUUUCAUAUCAAGGAACAGCAAUGUGCCUCGAGGAUCUCGAUCAUCUGACUGGGAAGACAUUUCUGUGUGAUCUUCAUCUCAAAGAUCUUCUGGUUUUCAGUGCAAAGACAGACUUCCACAAUCACUUCCUUUAUAAAGCAGGACACAUUAUAUUGCAGGACAAGGCCAGCUGUCUUCCCGCUUUCCUCCUAAACCCUCCUGUUGGUGGUCACGUCAUCGAUGCCUGUGCAGCUCCAGGGAACAAAACCAGCCAUCUAGCUGCCAUAAUGAAAAAUAAAGGGAAGUUGUUUGCCUUUGAUCUUGAUGCAAAACGCCUGUCCACCAUGAGCACUCUUCUCCUUCGUGCUGGGGUCACGUGUCAUCAGCUGGCCAAUCAGGAUUUUCUGAAAGUAGAUCCACAGAGUUCAGAGUACAAGGAAGUCGAGUACAUCCUUCUGGACCCCUCCUGCAGUGGAUCAGGGAUGGUUUGUCUACGAGAUGAGGUCUCAGAGCCGCAGGAGGACGGGCGUCUGCAGGCGCUGGCUGCGUUUCAGCUGCACUGUCUCAACCAUGCGCUGCAGUUCCCUCAGGUACAGCGCGUCGUCUAUUCCACCUGCUCCAUUCACCCACAGGAGAACGAGGAGGUUGUGUCGGCCUGCUUACAGCAGAACCCUGGAUUCAGACUAGUACAUCUUCUUCCAAAUUGGCAUGAGAGGGGUCACGAUCCUUUCACCCAGUGCCUUCGUGCAAGCACAGAAAAAACACGGACUCAUGGGUUCUUUGUGGCCAUGCUGGAGAGAUGUCCCCCACAGACAGAUGGAGAGAACCUCCCAAUGAUCACAACAAUGCCGUCUAGUGGUGAGGAAAAGCAGGACAUACCACAAUCCAGCCCAUCUGACGAGGAACAAGAAAACACACAGACUGCAAACGAACAACCUGCAAAUCCAAGCUCAAAGAAGAGGAGAAGAAACCGAAAGAAAAACAAAAAGCAAGAACCCUAAAGUUAUAGAGGACUAUAUGUAUGGUGACAAUGAAAGCAAUCUCUGCUCGGCUAAGACAUUUAGAAAUGUGGGAAUUAUGUCAUGCAUUGAACACAACAGAAAUCCACAGCAAAUCAACUUUCCAUUUUUAUUCAAAACCAGCAUGUCAUUAUCAGAGCAUUUAAGCAGACACAACACAAUCUGUGUGCCGCUUCAUUCAGAACUCCACUCACGCUUUGAGGGUUAGUGGGAAUGGUCAUUUACACACAAACUGUGAGCAUUCGCUUAUAGCAUUGUCUGAAAAACAUACAACUACGUACAACAGCCCUCAAACAUUCACAGCUUGAGAUAUCCAGCUCUCAUCUCAAUGCACAUCUCAUUUUCUCAACACAGUCUACACGUCUCACUUGUAUUUGGUACGGCUUUCUAAUAAACAGAAAGCCUGGUCCCAUGCCUCUUUGCAUCAGUCUGGACAUGAGAAUACUUCAAAAAUGUGAUUAGAAAUUAUGUUAACCUACAUGAGGAAUGGCAUGCAAAGGGGGACUGGGAUGGCUACGUCGUUGUAAAAACACUCGCCGUCCCUACUUAAGUGGAUUUUUCAGGUCAAAAAAUUCUAUGGGGGUGAACAAAAAUACAAUAAACCUCUAGAAAUCAA